AUGUUCGAGUUUAAGUGGAGAGGGAAAACAUGGUGCAUUGAUGCAUCUAGGGAAGAUGGAUCGUUUGGGCGGUUAGUUAACGAUGACCACCAACAUCCAAAUUGUAAGAUGAAGAAAAUUGAUGUGAAUGGAAAGGCACACCUGUGUUUAUUUGCGCUGAAAGACAUUAAAGAAGGAGAAGAAAUCACAUACGAUUAUGGGGGAGACGACUGCCCAUGGAGAACCCAAGUAAGUUGCACAGCACACUGUAUACAGAAUAACUCAUUUUUAGUGGUUGAAGAAAUUAGAAUUUGAAUCCAUUAGAAAUAUGAAAAUAAUUUGUAACCAUUAUGACUUUUGGGUCGGUGUAGUUUUUUUUUUUUUGUAUACAUUGAAUAAUGGGGUCUUACGUUCUUAGACCAAUUUAGGGGUUAGAAAGUAGGGGUUGUAUGCCUGGCCUAAUGGGUAAAAUGUUAUUACCCCCACCCCCCCCCCAACAUAAAAAAAAUCUGGUAUCUGCAUCAGAUUUGUCUCUUGUGUUUCCAUGUUGUGAAGACUUCUCAUUACUGGUGUUGUCUCUUGCAGGAGAGCAGCAUUGCUGCUAAUAGCAGAGCAGCAGGUGACUCUGAUCCUUCUCUCCAGUCUCAGACUCAGAUGGAUGAUGCUUCUGGUCAAACCAAGUCUCCUCAACAGGUGCGUUCACUUUUAUCACUGAAAAAGUUAAGUCUACUGUCUGUUUUUUCCAUGUUUUUUUGUGUUUUUGGAUCCUAUUUUGAUGCGUAUCUGCUGUAAAUGAGUUCCCUCAACAGUUUAUCAACAUGUGUCCAGUAGGUUAGUGAUAGUGGAAUAUUUAGGGCCAGUUUUGUCCAUCACAAGUAAUUUUUUCUUGGUUAAUUGUUGCUUUAAAAUUUACACUCACGACGUCCCCACAGCACACUUUCAGUCACUCCGUGUUGGAGUUGAGAUGGUGUGUGAGAUUAGAUGAAUCUGGUCCCCAUGAGGAACAAUAACGUUGUGUGUGAAAGGUCCCCUUGAGGCCCGUUUUAUUCAAGGUGUGUGUGCAGACACAGGAUGCUGGACAGGGAUAAAUGUUUAAGAUGAGGUUGAUUGUCUCUCUCUGUCUCAUAGUUCAUUCAGUAUCUGCAUCAGAUUUGUCUCUUGUGUUUCCAUGUUGUGAAGUCUUCUCAUUAUUGGUGUUGUCUCUUGCAGGAGAGCAGCAUUGCUGAUAAUAGCAGAGCAGCAGGUGACUCUGAUCCUU
ensembl:lncRNA